AGUACGUGAAACUGCUUAGAGGUUAAGCCCGAUGAACCUGAAUAUCCAUUAUGAAAAAUUCAAUAUUAAUGAAAUUGUAUAAAUCAUAUUAUUGAAAUAGUAUGCAAUUUUUUCAUAUAAGGACAUUGUAAUUUGUUAAUGUUAUAUAUAUUUAUCAUAAGAUCUUUUACUUAAGUUUAUUUGAAUUGUUUAUCUUUGGAUAUUCAACAUAAAAUAAAUGUAUUGGAUUAGAUAAAUCAUUGACAGAUAUAAUUGUAUAUUGUGCUUAAAUUUUUUUGGAAUUUUACAACAGUGAAAAGAUCUAUUGAUUUGUUUGUUGUUUGUAUGCACUUUUAUGAUUGACAAUGCGAUAGAUUCAGGAUACCUUCGGGACCCGUCUUGAAACACGGACCAAGGAGUCUAACAUAUGUGCAAAUCAUUGGGUAUUUUUAAUAAAACCCAAUGGUGUAAUUAACUUAACUGUUAUUUAUAAUGGGAUUAAUUUAUAUAUAAUUUUGAUUUAUUUAUUCAAUCCCGGGGCGUUCUAUAUAGUUAUGUAUAAUGAUAUUUAUAUUAUUUAUGCCUCUAACUAGAGCGUACCUUGAGC
rnacentral:rRNA from 2 species